rnacentral:lncRNA from 1 species
CUCAGGCCCCUCCUGAAGAAGCUACUGAAGAGGCAAAGCCAUCUGCCUAAGCUAUCAGCUCCAGCACCAUCCACCCAUCUCAUCAUAUAUAUCUAUUUUAAAUUUCUUUUAAGUAUUGCGCUUUUAUUACUUUUUUAUGAAAUCCCAUCUUUUUGAUAUCAUAUAUGGGAUUGCUUGUAUUGUUUCCUUUUUGCUUGUACUCGCAUGAAUUAAAGUAAUACAAGUCUAGCAUUUUUUUUGUUAACUCUUAGCAUUAAUUUAUUCUUAUUUCCUUUUCUCACAUCUUUUAUCCUUUUUGAAACAUGUGGUUUCUCCAAUCAGUGUUCGAAAUUUAUAUCACUCAGGAGGUACCACUUUCUCCCUUUAAUUGCAAUCACCCAUAUCACAUUAAGGACAAUGCUCAGUUCGGUUGGGGGGGGGGGAGAGAAAUGAGGAAGGAAGUAUGCUAAGUUAAAGAAAGUAUGCUAAGUUAUUUUGGUAAUGCAAUUAUGUUGAUAAAUUAGUUAUAAUCUUUUACAGUCCACUCUAAUCUCCAUGGAUUUUGAGGAAAAAUUUUCAAAUAAAAACAGGAGAAGUUGAACUGUUGCUUUUCACUUGACUUAGAGUGUGGAUUAUGCUUGCUAAAGUGGUUCAAUUGUUGAAGCUUCUAUUGAAAUCGAGUUUAGUUCUUCCACUUUAAGCUAUUCACACACCAUGCACAAUAGGUUCCGAGUAUAAGAUGAAAAACUAUUUCCCUCUUGACUUAGGAAAAUUUUGGGACUUGGUACCUUUGACCUCAGUUGAUAAAGUUGAGACACCUUAUGAAAGGCCAAUGAGCCUUUGAAAUAAAGAAAGAAAAUCUUUAAAACCUGGUGCCCUAAGCCUUAAUUGGUUGGGAGUCACCGACCUCAAUGCUCGUUACAAGGGUGGAUAGGUGGAGUUAGCAUAUGGUAGGUGCUUGGGUAUUAAAACAAUCAUUCUCAAAAGUGCGGGGUAAAAUCCGAGGAGUUAGUGGUUGAAAGAUCCUCAAAGCUUGAUGCCCUAAACCUUAAUUGGUUGGGAGUCAUCGAUGGACCCCCGUUACAUGGACAAUUCAGAAAGAAUACCCCUUAAGCCUUGUGCCUUCUAAAAAAAAAAAAAAAAAGUGUGUUCUCUGCCUAUUGAAUUUGGUCAUUUUGCUAAGUGUUGAGAAGAGAUAGGUUGGGGGGAGAGAUUAGUUUAGCAUACUAUAUUCGGAUGCUAAGGAAUCAUACACUUAGAUUUUUGUGGAAGAAUAAAGUUUGGUUCUUUGAAAGUGAAAAUGAUUAUAAAACUUCAGUUUGCAUAAUGCAUUCCCUUGAUCAAUAGUGUUUAGCAAAGUUUUUGGAUAACUCUUGUUGAAAUUUGGGUUUAUAUUUCUUUAAUGUCUCAUGUGAGAGUUAGAUCAUCAUGCCACUUAAAAUUUUUUGAAGUAAUCAGCAUGAUGUUGUAAAUUAUAAUUAUUUUUAUUUUUAUUUUUCUCUCCUUCAUUGCUAAGGGACUAGCAAUAUGUCGGUUGGGGGGAGUGAUUACUACUCAAAAAGUGCUAUUUUGUAGCUUGUAAUUAACUCUUUUAAUUACUCUUGAGUAGCAAUUAUUACCUUUUAACUCAAUUGACAUGUUAAGAACCCUUGCAAUCGUUUCUAAUCAAAUUGUGUUAAGUUUUGGUGUUUUGAUAGCUUUUUGAUCACCAAAGCAAUCCGAGGAUGAGGAGAGUUAUUUGGAAUUCUUGGAAAAGCAUUGGAAAGCUCAAAUUCAUGAAGAACCAAAGCUUUGAAGUCCUUUUCCAUAAGCAAAUCCGGAAUGCAAGGAGGAGAAGCAAAGAGAAAUCUGCCAUGAAGCAUUCUUGAUGACAGUCAUGUCAGCCACUUUUGGAGCACUUUCUGAAGUCCAAUUUAUGCAUACUAUAUGUCGUUUCAAAGAUCAGGAAGUAAACAAUCCAAUGCUUCAACUUUGUGCAAUUUGGAGUUGAAAUGAAGGAGUUACAGCCAUUGCAAGCCGAUCACUCCAAGUUGAAGGAAGAAUUUUGCACAGCGCUGCGAAAUCACCCUUUUGUUGUGAGAUGAUUUCGCAGCCUUUUUGUACAGUGCUGUGGAUUCUCCCCUGAAGUUUCCCGUCACAAUGGAAGCCGAAUACCACAAGAUGAAAGAUCACUUCACAGCGUUGCGAAAUUAGCCGAUUGCUGCGAAGUGAUUUCGCAGUCCUUCUUGUGCCUCUGUGAAAUCUCGCAGACCUCGUUUGCACUUGCGAAAUGAUCCUUAGUGCGUCCCGAUAUUUGCUACCGACACUUGGAGAUAUUUCUCAUCAGAUUUUUGUUGUCUAAAUCCCAAAAUUCUCCUUGUAAGCCACCAAUUAUAAGUUUCCUUAGUUUUUAAGUUAGGAAAAAGACUAAAUAUCCAUGUAAUAAUUAGUAUUGUAAUUUUUCAUAUAAAUAGCUCUCGAGAGCCUGUUCUGGGAGAGGAACCCUUAUGUAAAAGUUUGAAAGCAAGUAAAACUCAGGACCUUUAUUUUGCCUUAUCUUCUCACUUUGUAUUUUUCAUUUUUUUCUAAGUUAUGCACUCUCUAAGGAAGUUUCCCCAGAGAAUGAGUAAUUAAACCUUUAGUUCCUUGGAACUAAGGUUGCCGGGAAAGGUUCCAAGUGCAAGAAUGCAAGACUUUGUGGUUUCAGCCAUGAAUGAAGAGGAAGAGAAAUCCUUUAGUGAUUUCUAUGUUUUUAGUUAACUUAAAACACCUUAGAGUCACUUGGGCCAACACUUGGUAAGGCAAGUGAUCUCUGUCCAAGGAGAUGCACUAGUUUACCCUUUGCGAGCCUCUAGGAGGUGACUUGAAGGUAGGAUUUUUCUAGAAUUGCCAACACUUGGUAAGCUUUUGGACUCCAAGGAGACAUCCAUUAGUUAUCUCUUGCGAGCUUGAGAAGGGAAGUCCAAGGUUAAAGAUCACCUUGAAUGGUUAAGGCUUAGUGAGAGGCUCGAACCGUUGCAAGUUGCAUCAGUGAGAGAAUUAAAGCUGAAAUCUAAUUAAAGGAUGUAUCUGUACAACACCGGUUAGAGAAUUUACUAUAUGUUGAUUCUCUAACGCGAGGAAAUGAACCAACUGACCGGAGCUAUGUCUGUUGCAUGAGGAACCUCCCCAGUGAACCUGACCCUCCAAGGAAUGUUUUUCUUCCUAAGUAAUUUCCAUCACUUGCUUUGUAGUCAUUUUAAAUCUAAAUCUUUACCAAUCAAAGUUUUUGUUUUAUUUCUUGAGCUAACCUUGAAAUGAAAAAGUACCAAUUCACUUUGAAUUGGUAUCAUUUGUAAUUUGGAAACCCUUCCCAGUGAACGAUCCUAGAGCCGCUAUACUAUAGUAGCUUUUUCUUUGCUACCCUAGUAUAUGGUGUAAUAGGUUAUAAAUUUUGUUGAUUACUCCCUCAAUCAAGGAGCAUUAACUGGACACGAAUCAGCUGAGACACCAAUUAGGCAUGAAUCAAGAAUUGAACUAAUUUUCAAGUAAGGAUUUUAAUUUAAUGAAGGUGGGAAAUGUUUGAUCUUUAGUAUGUAAAUGACAUAGCCAUGAAAAUCUAGAGAAGUCAUCAAUGAAGAGUAAGAAUACUUUGCAUCAGUUGUAGAAAGAAUAGGUGCAAGACCCCAUAAGUCAGUGUGAACCAAGCUAAGAGGAUAAGAAGCUUUAGUUUUAGAUAACGAAAAUGGUAAUUUGUGACUUUUUGCGUGUUGGCAAGCAUAAAAAAUAGUAUGUUUAUGAUUGUGGAAAGAAACAUUACAAGAUGAAAGAAUUUACUUCAAAGUAUUGGUAGCAGGAUAACCAAGAUGUAGGUGCCACAAAUCAAACAUAUUAUUCAUGUUCCUAGUAAUAAUACUUUGGAGGUAAAGAAAGCUAAGGGUGCACCAAUUUGAUUGAUAGAAACUAGUAUAAGCCAUUCUUAAGUUUGCUUUGAAGAAAAAGCCUUCCUCAUAUCCUAAUCCUUAAUAAGAAAGAAAUGAGGAUGAAAUUCAAAAAUUGAGUUAUUGUCAAUGCAAAAUUUGGAAAUACUAAUUAAGUUUAUAGCCAGGUAAGGAAAAUGAUUUUUUUUUUUUUGUAAUUGAAAGAGCUUGAGAGUAGAUUUAAAGGACUUAGAACCAACAUGCAAGAUGGAAAGUGUCUUACCAUUACCACAAUCACUUUGUCAUUUCCUUGAUAUGGUUGAACAUUUGAGAAAGUACUAACACUUUGAUACAUAUGAUGUAUUGCAUCAAUGUCAAGAAACCAAGAUAAUUUGUUGUAAAAUGAGAGGAAACCAUAGCUUGCAUCUGAUUAUUGUUUCUAUUAUUUGGUGAAACAUUAUUGUUGUUACUAGUCAAGGUAUUAAAACCUUUGAAAGUUGAUAUCAAAUCGAUGGUGGCAUGUAACAUUAUGAUUUAUUUCCAUUAUUGUUGCUCUGAACUCCUUGACCACAACCACCAAUAUGCUCACUUCCGUGAUUAUAGUUGAAAUGAUUUAUGUUGUUGGAGUGAUUACUUCCUAUAGUGUUCUAAUAUCUUUUAGUGUUAUUAUUUCAUUCUUGUGUGGUAGUAACAUUAGUAGCAAUAUUAUCUCUUUUUAUGGUUCAUGUGUCUCUCUAAACUAGAAUUCAAAAAUAAUUUUAACAAUGAAGUUUUGUAGGAGCAAAAGUUUAAACUAGAUUAGUCAUUAAACCUUUUAGUUCUUGAACCAAAAAUAAAAAGAACUAACAAUUGCAUAGCAAUUAGGUCGUCUCCAUAUGGAACAUGCAUUGGAUUAACCAUGCUAAAGGUGGGAGCUUUGGGGAUGUGAGUGCUAGUUGGAGAUAAAAAUUAUUAAUUUUUAAAUUUUUGGAGAGAAUGAGGGAACUAGAAACUGGAAAAUAAAAAGUAAAAACUUGAUGAACUCUAAUAACAAAAAUUCACUUAAAUUCCUUGUCUCAAGCUCAACCCUCCUACAUAGUGUUGGUCUUGUGCUUGUGGCUUUAGAACCAAGCCCUAGGCUUACACUAUUCGAAGGGUUCCAAUUGACAUAAGUAGUAACCACCUCGAUAGAAAGAUAUACUUAGUCUAAUUGCUCUUUUUUGGGUUCUCACAAUAAAAUGAUUUAAGUGGGUUUUUACUCAUGUCAAAAGGUCUGCUUUUGGUUUAUGAGACCACUAGAGCUAAAACUAAGGUUACUUGGCUUGUGACCUUCACAACUAUAGCCUUUGCUCCCCAUAGAAACUCCUUGUGGUCCUUGUUACUAUUGACUUAAGUUAGGUACUCAAUGUGGUCCUCAUAACUACUAAACUAAGUUAUGACCUUUUCAAACAUCGAUAACUACACCAAUGGUGAACUAAACUGGGGUAUAGGGACCUUAACUCCUUUCACCCUUUCAAGCAAGAAUAAUAACAAUAAAAAAAAACACACACACACAACAUAUAAACAUAAACAUAAAAUAGAAAACUAAAAAGGAAAGGUUAUAAAGAGAAAAAAAAAACACAAGGACUAAAACAAUCUAACUUAUUUCCCUAUCAAUACCCCAUCUCCCUUUGUUUAUUUUCAAGUAAUAAAAAGGAAAAGAAACACAAGGACUAGAACAAUCUAACUUAUUUCCCUAUUGAUACUCUCUAUUUUCCUUUGUUAAUUUAUAGUUUCUAUAUUUAUAGCCAAAAAUAUCCCUUCUCCCCUAUUAAUCUAAAGUUGUCCCUAGUUAGCUAAGCCACCAACCUGUAUUGUGAUAUAGUGUGUCAAUGCAACCAUUAAUAAAAAAAUGUAAGUGUGGAGUGAAUGGCUACACUUCCUAUCUUUUCAAUGUGGUAGCAUGGUGAAGUAGAUGGAUCAAUCAAAGCUAUAGGGGUGUUAUUUUCUACGCAACCUUUAUGAGUGCCCAAUGAUUGGAAGAUUUGGCAUGUGCACAAGGUGGAGCGAUGAAGGCAAUGAGUUGAGAUAGAAGUUAUCUAGGUAUGCUUCAUAGUUAGAGAAGAGAGCUCACUCUAAGAUUAGGGAGGUGUGCCACUUAUUUAAGGAAAAUUACACACUUAAGGUUGAAAAUGUGUGCUUGGCUUAUUGAUGAAUCAAUAGCACACUUAUGGUUAUUGGUUCUAUGAGCACUAUGCAGGUUGGGGUGGUAUGGUAUGCUUCUUUCUUAAUGCGCUUGAGUAGUGUGUAGUUGUUGGGGCGCUUAAGGGAAGUGUGCUACUCUUGAUUAGAAAGUGAUUAAAAUACCUUUAAAUGCCAAAUUCUUCAUAACCUUAGGGAAAAUGGAGAGAAAUGGUUAUUUUUUAAAAAAAAAAAUCCUCUUUUUAUAUUUUUCUUUUCAAUUAUGAGUUGAAAUUAACGUCCUCCCUGAUAUUAGAAAGUGAUUAAAACACCUUUAAAUGCCUAAUUCUCCAUACCUCUACAUGUGACAUUUGACACUUCAUAGCAAUGACAUUUGACACUUCCAUUACAUCUUGAACUAAUUACAUUUUCUUUAUUUAUUACAUAUACACAUUUUUUAAGCAAUUCAAAUGGUUGUUAGAAUUGUUUUACUAGAAUUUUUUGUACAAUUACAAAAUUUAAUUUUUUUUAUUUACUAAUCAUUAUUGCUAAAUUGAUGAUGCCACUUUAUUACAAGUGUUUGUACUUCCUUAAUUAUUUUUAAUUAUUUUAUCAAUUUAAAAUUUUUCAUUUGAUUUUUUUUUUUUUAAAUCUAUCCAAAUCCAGGAUGUUACAAUGUGGAAUUUUUGUAUGGAUUAAUAGUAUGUUACUUGGAUUUAUUUUGCAUCAAUAUAAGUUUAUAGAAUUAUUAAGAUGCAUGCUACAACCUAUUAUAGGUUUCAAUUAGAAUAGUCAUUACUUACAUUACAUGUUUUCAGGCUCAUGGAUAUCACAAGCUAGCACAAGAUUUCAGACUGUACAUAGUCUAAUUUGAAAAAUUCUCUACUUGUAUUAUUGUUUAUCUCAAGUAUAUAUAUAUAGAUAGAUAGAUAAAAUUGAGUUCAAUUUGUGACAUUUGGUUUAACUCAUGGGGUUGAGACUUAGGGUAUUAUAUGUAUAUGCAUUGUACAUCAUGAGAAGUCCUUGCUUUUCUUAUGUAAAUUAUUUUUAGUUUUUUACAAGAUCUAUCAAAUGAUGGACUAUAUCCUUGUAACUCCUUUUUCAUCACUUUAUUUCAUGACUUUUAUUCAAUACUAUUUUAAGUAUAACAUGACUUUGAUGUAAUAUUAAAAAAAAAUUAAAAUUCAAUCAUUGUGAUAGUUAAUUAAACAUCAAAUAUUAUGAAAGGGAAAAACUAAUAUCAAAUGAGUAAAAUGAUUAUCAUGCAAAUUAUCUCAUAUCUAGCAACGUUGAAAACUAGAGUUGGGAUCGUCGUCGAUAUGGAUACCAAGUAAAAUAUAUCCUUUGUAGACUUCCAAAUACUAUAUAUCUCUUUCCAUUUGUCAAAAUUUUUAUUGUCAUUAAAAUAAUAUUAAUUGAUGGUAACAUAGUAGAUCUUUAAUAUAUAUAGCAAAAAAAAAAAUUUCCAAACACAUUAUAACUUGAAAUCUUCUUUUAUUUGCCCUAAUCGCCACCGCACUCUCUAUCUUAUAUCUCCUUUCGCAUAUAUAUAGCUCAUCUUUUCUGCUUAUUUAUAACUUCAAAUUUGAUCAUUUACCAACUCUAGGUCUGAUUGACCAUUGUAGCCAUUGCCUCCAUAUUUGACAUCAUAUUGUUUUUAUAUCCUCACUAAAACUAACCUUUUACGUGCAUCUCGAUCGCUAAGAUGGUCUUGUUGUCAUCACACCAAUCUUUCAUACGUCUAGCUUAUCAGUAAUGACAUAGUCAUGUUCGAUUGUAAGUUUCUCUCUUAAUCUCUUGAAAAAAAUGAUAUUUUGUAUGAUUUCUAUUAGAUUUUUUUUUUUUUUUUUGUUUUAUUUUUUCUAGAUAGUACAGAAAAAAUCAAUUGUCAAUCUAAUUCUAGCCUUGAGUAGCCUGAUUCUCCCCUUCCAAAUUUUCUUUUUAAAAUUGUUUAAGAAAAUCAAAAGAAAAUAAUCCUUGGUCUUUUUUGAAGUUACAUUAAUUAAAAAGGAUUUUAAGAAGAAUUGAUCCUUAGGAUCGCAUGCAUAUCAUAAAUAAUUUUCAAGUAAAAUUAGGGAAUCAUUUUCCAUCCACUUGUAUGUUAUUCAAGAAACAAAAAAAAAAAAAAAAACCCUAAAAUCUUUUUAUGAAUUUCACUAGAAUUUUUAGGAAACAAACUUUGAAGUAUUAGAAGACUUGUAAAAAAUUUUAAAUUUUUGUUAAUGAAAUUUCUUUUCUUUUUGUUGGAUCUUUAAGAAAAAUCCCAUUUUUCAUUAUUUUUAAUAGAUUUUUUUUUAUAUAUGAUCAUGUUUGUCAUUUUUAAAUUAGGUUGUUUAAUUAGAUGAUGCUAACAUUUUUUAUUAUGUUGCUUUGUGAUUACUUAAUUAUUUAAGAUCUUCUCUACAGAUGUACAAUGAUUAAGUUUUCCUUUUUUCUUUCUAUUUUUUGCUUAAACUAUGAAUUUGUGAGUUCUCCUUUUUCAAAAGAUAAAAAAAAAAAAAAUCAAUUGUUGGGGAUUUGAUAUGAUUAAGCGCAUACUAUUUAGGUCAUUGAUGUUCUUUUUAUUUGUAGUAAAGACAUAACACACCUACCCGCAAACAAAAAAUAGACAAAUAACUAGGUAACCUAAAUGUAUUGGUAGUUUCACUAGGGAAGUUUUUGUUACCUAGAAAUAAUCCCUCUUUUAAAUCCCUAAUUUUGUAUUUUGUUGCCUUCAUUGGAAAUUGAAUAACAAUUUCCCAAAUAAGAUAUGAAAAGGAAAAAUAUGUUUUUCACAAUAAUGAAUAACAUUAUUAACCUUAAUGAUUUUGCCUUAGUACUAAUACUGACCUACCUAUUUAACCCAUUAUAAUAAAGUUACUGAAGACACUGCUAGGUAAUAGUAAGAUCAUAUAUAAAUUAAAAUUGAGGUAGUAGUUCUUCUAGUAAAUUACAUGUCUGUCUAUAAAGACAUACAUGGUCUUAUAAAAAUGAGAGAAGUCCCCUUAGUUUAUAUGCCUCUUGACUUGAGUCUAUGAUCGAUGUUUGUCCUUAUAUCAAACCAAAUAUUCCUAUUGUUGUAAGUCUUUUAUCAUAGGUUUUAAUGCAAAGGGACAUUUGAUUAAAAGGGAUAAUCUUAAAGUGAUACAGAUGACCUCUUUUAAAAACCUAGAAUAUGAAAUUUUUUGAAAACAUUUUUCAUCAUUUUUCAUACCUCCACCUCAAGAGACACUUUUGCAUGGUAUGUGAUUGUUUCAAGCUUUUAUAUCUAAUAAAAAAUUAAGUAAUUAUUCCUCUUAUUUAUCUCCCUUUUUAAAUCUCAACCAGUCCUUUUAAAUCUUCUUGUAAUUAAGCCUCAUAAGAAAAUAUAAACUUGGUUAUAAUGAGUUUAAUUACAAUUCUAAAUAACAUAUGUGCUUACCAUAUCAUUUUCCUAUUUAGGUAUACUACUCAAUGGCAUAAGCAUUUAAUGGUGUGAGUGGAGUUGGAAAAAGGUAUAAAUUUUACAAAUUUUUUAUUCUAUUAGAAUUCAUAUAAUAAUUUAGAAAGUAAUGCUUUACAAAAUGUGCAACAUUUGCAUGUAUUUGUUUUAAUUGUUUGUUAGAUGGGUGUUGCCUAUUUUAGUUAAGUUAAUAAAUUUUCAUAUAUUAUAAUGUAAUUGAUAAUUUUAAUGUAUACAUAACCUAUUAAGAACCCAUGUGUUUUAUUUGCAAAUUAUAGGAAAGCGGUGACUCGUUGGAGCCAGCUAACAUUGCAAAAUAGUUGCUUACUACGAGAGUUUUUACAGGUUAAAAAAGGUCUUAAUAAUUGUAUAUUGUUUCUAAAUUGUGUUUUCUCCUUCUUCUAAGAGACACUUCUAAUGUUAUGUAAGAGGAUUCUAAUUCCAAUCUGAGCCUCUUGAAAAUCUAGAGACACCUACGUUCAUAAGGCCUUGAACAAGAUGGGUCCUUCUGGUUCUUCCACUCUUGACUUUCUUCUUCUACUUCUACCGUAAAAUGCUUCUGCCCAACAAUGAUAUAGAUCAACUCUUCCUUGAAUUCAGGGAAUCCAUCCAUAUCAUAGAAUGGGUCAUCUUAUUUCUUCCUCUCAUACUCCCCUUGUAAUGUCCCAAACCCAAUUUAAGGGUAAAAUCAUAAUUUAGAAACUAUUAAUUAAUUAAAGUAAUUUAGUAAGGGUAAAAAGGUCUUUUUGUAUUUAAAACCCCUAGAUAUAAAUUAGGUUUUUCUUAUCUUCUCUAUUCAGAAAACCCUUUCACACAAAGAUCAAAAAGAUAAGAGAGCAUGGGGCUGAAGAUUUGGAGGUUUAGCGUUUGAAGAUCAAUUUUCCAAGUAAUAUUUUUAAUCCUUAAAUUUAUACUUUAUAUUCGUUAAUUAGUUUUGAAAACUUUAGAUAUUCUUUGGAAUAUCUCGAUUUUGAUUAGAGUUCGUUUAAUUAACUUAUAGGUCAAAAAGAUUAAAAAUUUAUGAACAUGGCUUGAUUUAUUAAUGGAGAUCGACAGAUUUUUAUUUCUCAAAUGAAUAGAUCUAAAUAAAUAAAUAAAAUAAGUGUCGUGUGAUUUUCUGGAAUGGUGAAUAAAAUAAUAAUAAUAAUAAUAAUAAUAAUAAUAAUGUAGAUGUGUGUGGUGUAGUAGAGGGUUUAAAAGAAAAAAAAAAUGUGUGUGGACGUCCAGGGAAGGAAUGAACAAAAGAAAAAGAAAAAGAAAGGUGUUAUUAUUGUUAUAAUAAUAAUGAGUGUAGUUGGUGGCUUGGAGUAAUAGUGUUGCAGGGUCUUUGAAAGUAAUAAUAAUAAUAAUAAUAAUAAUAAUAAUAUAUAUAUAUAUAUAUAUAUAUAAUGGGGUGUGGGGUGGAAUUGUGGUUAAGUGAUAGUUGGAUUAUAGGAACAAUAACAAUAAUAGUUUCUUGUAUAGGUUUUAAUUUAAUUUAAGUAUAUAAAGAAAUAAAUAGUGAGGGUAAGAUUAUGAAAGAAAAUGAAUUUUACAAUAAUUUGGAAACUCACUAAAUUAAUUUAUUAUUGUUUAGUAAGUUGAAAAUAAGAUUCGGUAGUAAUAAUAUUAGCAUGAGAAAUUAAUUAGGAUCCCUAAUACUAAAUAAAAUAUUUUUAGGAUUGUCAAAUUUUUACCUUUAGAUAAUUGUGUAUGAUAUUAUGUUAGGUGAGGAGUAAAUUCGUCAUGCUAAAUACUUCAUGUUUUUUAGCGCUUUUUCAAGGUAAGGGAAAUUAAUGCAGAUUUUUAUAAAAGAAAAUAAUUUCAUUUUUAUAUUGUAUUUUGAAAUGUGUAAAAAUAUUAUUUUUAUCUUUACGCAUGGAUCAAAUAUGUGUUUUGUAUGGAAAGUAUAUUUGAGAAUUUUCUUUGUUUAUAAAAAAUGAAAAAUUGAGGAGAUAUGAUAUUUUGUUUUAUAAGCUUGAAUUAAUGAAAUAAAGUGUUUGACUCUGGAUUAUAUGACCCUAAUCAACGGGUUAUGAUUGUUGACAUUUUCGGCCCUAGUCAACGGGUUAUAAUAGUUGAUAUUAUAUGGCUCUAGUCAAUGAGUUAUAAUAGUUGACCUUAUGACCCUAGUCAACGGGUUAUAAUAGUUGACCUUAUGGCCCUAGUCAAUGGGUUCUAAUUAUUGACAUUUGGUUUUGUUGACCUUAAAUGGAACAAAUUUGAAACUAGUUACUCAAUUGUGAAGUCCCACCUAAUUGGGCACCCUUUGUCAUACGAUAACCAGAGUAAAGAUAUUUUGAAUGUAUUCGAUUUGGUUUUGAUGAGAAAUUGUUUUGAAAUGGAUAUGAGAAAGUUUUGUUGAAAAUUUUGAAUGUAUUAGUAUUUUGAAUUCAAAAGUUUUUAUGAAAAUAAGUAAAUGUUAUAUCUCCUAUUUGCAAGCAUGAUUGAAAAUGUUUGAUCCAUGAAACUGUAUUAAUGUUCCUUAUUGGGCUUUGAGCUCAUCCCUCUUUGUUGAUAAUCUUUCAGGUAACCUCAGUUCGGGCGAGGAGUGAUCAUUAGGAGGGAAAUUUGGCUUUAUUAGGACAUUUGUUUAAACUCUCUUUAUGUUGGACAUUGUUUAGAUGUUAAAACUUAAUUCUCAUUUGAAUUAUUUAAGUUUGGAGUUAUUUGAACAAUAACACUUUAGUUGAUGUAUUAGUUUUUUUAAAGUUGAUACUUGGAGAUUUUAGAAUUUUGUCCUACUACUCUGAACAUGAAUUUAGUAAUCGGUAAAUUUCUAGUUACAAUACGAAUGUUUGUGUCAUUUCCACUUUGAGCCUUUGGGCUUAAGGUGUUAAAUGACCGUCAUGCCCUUGGAGUGGGUUUUGGGGCGUGACAAAGUGGUAUUAGAGCACUAAGUUAUGAUCUUGUUGGGAACAUGUUUUAGUUUACUUUGAGGAUAGAUGAGUGACGCAUUAGUUUAAGUUUCAGUUUCAGUUUCAGUUUCGUCUUGUAUAAAUUCAUAUUCUUCCUUAUGAAUCUAAAUUGUCUAAUUGGUUUUCUAUUGACUAAUUUAGUUAUACCUAAUGCUUUAUAGGACAACAUGCCACCAAGAAUACCAGCAUCUUCCCAAAACAUCCAAGCUAAUAAUGAUGUACCUCCUCCACUAAAGGUUUGCCUCCCAUGAAUGCGGAAGGGCUUUAUAGGUAUCUUGAGACUUUAGCUAGUUUGGUUAAGUGUUAGGCUAGAGCUAUUAAGACUCAAGCUCUUGGAGAACCCUCAUAUUCUAAGGGUAGUUCAUUUGACGACUUUAAGAAGUUAGGUCCUCCUUAUUUUUCUAGUACUUCAGACCCAAUGGAAGCAGAAGCUUGGAUUUUCAAGAUAGAGAAAUUCUUUGAUGUUAUAGAUUGCUUUGAAGAACAAAAGGCCUCUUAUGCAGCAUUUAUAUUAGAUAAAGAAGCAAAUCAUUGGUGGCGUAUGACCAAAAGGCUUUUAAAGGAUCAGGGACCUAUAGUUUGGAGACAGUUUAAGGAGGCAUUUUACAAAAAAUACUUUCUCGACAGUGUUGACGACAAAAAAUAAGAAAGUUUGUUCAUUUGGAACAAAGGGAUAUGAUGAUGGCCCAGUAUGAAGCUAAAUUUACAGAGUUGUCACGUUUUGCUCCACAGUUGAUUACUAUAGAGGAGGAAAAUGCAUUAAAGUUUUAGGAUGGAUUGAAACCCUAUUUGAAGAACAAAAUAUCUAUUUUGAAGCUUAGUGUCUAUUCAGAGGUUGUAAAUAGAGCCCUUACAGUGGAAAAGGAUAAUAAGGAGCUUCAGCAGUAUAGAGAGCAACAAAAGAAAAGGAGUAGGAGUGAUAGUGCCCAUGAUAACCAAGCACCAAAAAGGUUUGUUUCAACAUAGAGUCAUAUUAAAGGAGAAGUCAUGCAAAAUUUAGAUAUGACUUGUUAUAUUUGUUGUAAGAAACAUUGGGGUAAACCUUGCUAUAAAGAGUCUAGAGCUUGCUUUGAUUAUGGGAAUCAUGGACAUAUGAUUCGGGAUUGAUCAAAGAAUAAGAAGUUUAUAAUUGGGAAGCCUAAGGAGGAGAAUAAGGAGGAUAAAUAGAAACCUAGAGUCCAAGGGUGGAUGUUUUCUAUGACUCAUCAAGAUGCUCAAGCCACUUCUGAUGUGGCAACAACUACUAUUCGAAUUUACACUUUAUUGAUAGAGUCUUGAUUGACCUAAACUCAACACACUCUUUGUUUCAAUAUCUUUUGUUGGUUUGUUAGGUAUGCUUGUUGGUAGCCUAAACUUUGAUUUGAAUGUUGUUAUUCCUAUGAGACAUUCUAUUAUGGAUAAUAUAAUGUUUUGAGGUUGUCUUAUGAUGACUAGUUAUAUGAAGAUGUUAGUUGACUUAGCACUUCUUGACCUUUAGAAUUUUGAUGUGAUUUUGGAGAUGGAUUGGUUAGUUUCCUUCUAUGUCCUUAUUAAUUAUUUUGGUAAAAGGGUGAUUUUCAUAUUCCUGACCAAUAUAAGUUUAGUUUUAAGGGAAAGCAUGUGGUUAGACCGUUGUGUAUGAUCUAGGUUUUAUGGGCUAGUUCCUUGCUUAGGAAAGGUUGUUAAGGGUUUUAUGCCUAUGUGGUGCAAGAUGGGAAAGACACUAUGUUCUAUUAUUGUCCAGUUGAUAAAGGUCUAGUGAAGUAAUCUUAGUAUUCGGGAGGUCACUUAGGAAGUAGAUGAAGAGAUAAGAGAAAAACAUUUUCAUUUAUUUCAAGACUCAUGUAUGUCAAGUUUAGAGGACUAAACUUCUGCUAAGGAGGGGAGGAUGUAAUGCCCCAAACCAAUUUAGGGGUAAAAUCAUAAUUUAGAAAUUAUUAAUUAAUUAAAGUAAUUUAAUAAAGGUAAAAAGUUCUUUUCCUAUUUAAAACCCUUAUAUAUAAAUUAGAUUUUUCCUAUCUUCUCUAUUCAGAAAACCCUUUUACACAGAGAUCAGAAAUAUCAAAGAGCAUAGGGCUGAAGAUUUGGAGGUUUAGGGUUUAAAGAUUAAUUUUUCAAGCAAGAUUUUUAAUCCUUAAAUUUAUAUUUUAUAUUAAUUAGUUUUGAACACUUUAGAUAUUCUUUGGAAUAUCUCAAUUUUGAUUAGAGUUCGGUUAAUUAAUUUAUAGGUCAAAAAAGAUUAAAAAUUUAUGAACAUAGUUUGAUUAAUUAAUGGAGAUCGACAGAUUUUGAUUACUCAAAUGAAUAGAUCUAGAAAGAAAAAACAAAUAAAUAAAAUAAGAGUCACAUGAUUUUCUGGAACGGUGAAGAAAAAAAUGAUAAUAAUAAUAAUGUAGAUGUGUGUGGUGUAGUAGAGGGUUUAAAAGAAAAGAAAAGAAAAAAAAACAAGCACGCAUCUGGACGUCUAGAGAAUGAAGGAACAAAAGAAGAAGAAAAAAAAAGGUGCUAUUAUUAUUAUAAUAAUAAUGGGUGUAGUUGGUGGCUUAGAGUAAUAGUCUUGCAGGGUCUUUGAAAGUAAUAAUAAUAAUAAUAAUAAGGGUUAUGCUACGGUACCGAAAUAUACUUUUCGGUACCAUACCCCAAAAUUUGCACCAAUUGCAUCUUGCCACAUGUGAGGAUUGUUGAAUAAAAAAGAAAAAAAAAACUUGCUAUAUAGGUUACAAACCGGUCACCUCCUAUGCCAAGAAAAAAUAAUCCAAUGCAACACAAAAGUUUUAACUCUUUACAACAUCCAAUUCUAUAAUUUGAGGAUUUAUUUUAUAAAAGAUUGAAAAAUGUUGAAUAAUUUGUGAAAAUAUAAAUUUUCUAAAAGAAAAGAAAUUAGAAUUUAUUUUAUUUGUUCAUAUAAAGUGAUAAACCAAAGAGGUGAAGAAAAAAAAUUAAAUUUAAAACAAACUAAGUAUUCAAAACAAAAUAAUUCAAUGACAUAAUUUAUAAAUUGAGAGUCAAUUAAUUUAUUUUAUUUUAAAUUGAAAUUAUUUGUGGAAAAAAUUGGAUGAAUAUUGCAAAUGCGAAAAAGCAAUAUAAUUGGUUUAUGAAGUAAAAAAAAUGAAUAAUUUCAAUGAAUUGUAAGUAUUGCUCCAUGCAUUCCCACUUGAUGGCGAAACUUGCUUUUUAUUUGGUGAAAAAUUGAUUUUUUUGAAAAAAACUUGGAGUCGCCACUUAUUUUUGUUUUAUUUUUAAGGGAAAACAAAAUAAGAAAAAAAAAACUCCUAAGUAUGACUCCUUAUUUGGAAAAGACAGUCUGUGGAAAACCAAAGUCGAGUCCGAGGGUCAAGUUACCUAUUGGGAAGGUAUAGUGGUGAGUUGUAGCACCCCUCUAAAUCCUAUAAUAAGGUCUCUACUAAAUAAGGUGAAACAUACAUGGAAAUUAACUAAGAGAUCAAUGGAUACCAAAAUGAUCAAAUUAUCAAACGAAUCAUCUAUGAGAAUAAGCAAAAUAGGAGUGAGAUCAUACCUUAGCAGCAAGUAAUAGUGCGCUAUCAUGGAAACAAUGUUAGCUCAAGUAUAAAAUUAUAACAUGCAUAUCAAAGAGUAAGACAAAUAUCAAACAAUAUUUAUUAAGCAUAAUAGUUGACAAUCAGAAGAGGAAACUCAUAUGUAGGGCCCUCACCAAAGGCCAAUUGAUUUUGCAUGAAUUGAUCCUACAAAUUCCAUUGUUUUGGAAUUAUGAAAAUCAUAUUCAUUCUUAUUUAAAAUCAAGAAAAAACAAAAUAUUAUUAGAAAAUCAAAGAAAAUUUGUGAAAGUGCUUACCUAAAGGGAAAGGUAGCAAGUUUAUUAAAAAUGAGAUUUUUUUUUACCUAAAACCCUAAUAAAGGAUAAAAAGUUGUAGAAUUAAAAAUAUUUGAAAACUAAAGUGGAAUUAAAAUUAUUUGAAAGAAACUAGAGUUGUGAAAAUUAUUUGAAAAUUGAAAUCUUAAAAAUUAAAUUUAAAAAUUAGAAUUUAAAAAAAAUUGAAAAUAGGAGUUUUGAAAAUUGGAAUUUUGAAAAAUUAUUUAAAAGUGAGAGUUUUGAAAAUUGGAAAUUUGGAAAAGUAUUUGAAAAUGGAAGUUUUGAAAAUUAAAUUUGAAAAUGGGAAUUUUGGAAAAUUAUUUGAAAAUGGAAGUUUUGAAAAUUGGAAUUUUGAAGAAUUAUUUGAGAAUAGAAUUUUUAAAAAUUAAAUUUGAAAAUUGGAAUUUUGGAGAAUUAUUUGAGAAUGAGAGUUUUGAAAAUUAUUUGAAAAUUAGAGUUUUGAAAAUUAAAUUUGAAAAUUGAAGUUUUGAAAAUUAGAGUUUUAAAAAUUAAAUUUGAAAUUUGAAGUUUUGAAAAUUGGAGUUUGAAAAUUAUUUGAAAAUUGAAGUUUUGAAAAUUAAAUUUGAAAAUUGGAAUUUUGGACAAUUAUUUGAAGAUGGAAGUUUUGGAAAUUAAAUUUGAAAAUUGAAAUUUUUGACAAUUAUUUGAGAAUGGAAGUUUUGAAAAUUGGAAUUUUAAAGAAUUAUUUGAGAAUGGAAAUUUUGAAAAUUAGAUUUGAAAGAAACUAGAGUUUUGGAAAAUUAUUUGAAGAUUAAAGUUUUGAAAAUUGGGAUUUUAGAAAAUUGAACUUUGAUAGCAAAAUAUGAAGAAAUAAAUAAAUAAAAAAUGUGAGUUGUGGUGAUCGGUUCAGUGGGUUCUAUGACAUCAACUAUUGGCUGCUGCUUCUCCAUCAUUCCAGACAAAGCCAAUCUUGUUGACCACUCAAGAACAUCAUCUAUUAUGUUUGAGACUCGCUUCUAAUACCUGGCUCUUGCAGCUUCAUCAGGGGCAUGGUGGCUCGGUAACAAUAUAAACAACACAGCCAACACUGCAAACAAAAGCCUAGUUGUCCACUUUGGGCACUCCUCCUCAUCUUUCUUGGGCAAAAACUGGAAUAAUUCUCAUAGUGUUACUUCCUCUGCAAGGAUGUUAGGGAAAAACCAGACCCACUUUUGAAGAAUUAUCCAUAAAGCACCAAAAAUUGCAAGUCUCAAUAAUAGCAGAGAGAGUAUGAGUAGUAGAACACCAACACAUGUAUAUAGUACUAGUAACCUGCACCCAUGAGGAUACUGGAAACAAGAAAAUAGCAAGAGUCAACACAUGCCAAAAAAAAAUGAGAAAAGUGUCUACCAUAAUGGCCUCCGUUUGACAAAUUUCCAUGCGAAAAAGGCAUAAUUUUUAGAAAAUAAUUGAUCGGUGAAGAUCUCUAAAUGUGUCGGCCAAGUAGUCAAUUUUUUUAUUUCCAGGUCGAACAAUUUUCACUACACAAUCACAGUGCACUAAAAGAUUCUUCCCUUUUAGAUAUAACUUGCAACAAGUGCCAUCCAAUUGUUUUUUUUACACCUUACAACUUUGUUUAAAGGUGCAUUAAAUGCAACCUCCUCAAACUCUGGUACCAUUUGCCCCUUUCUUGCCCAUCCAAGCAUUCCACCAUCUUCUUUGGACAGACAAAUUGAGUAUUCCACAACCAGAUCACUCAAAUCCACUCUACCAGAAAUCCUCCAUUAAAGCUCCAAUAAAAGCUUAAGGUCAUCCUCCUUGACAAGCAAGUGUUGCACUAAUAUUUCCCUACCACUUCCAGAGUUGCCUCCAUAACUAAAUGAAGCUUUGGGACAUGGCUGAGCCACCAUGUGAGGGAAUCUCUUUAGGCUAAGAGAAAAAGGAUAAGGUGAACCAGGUAGGAAUGUUUUGGGAAGAAAUGCGUGUAGAGAAGGAAAUGAAGAGAAUUUACGAAUGAUUGAAGGAGAUGUGAGGUUGAGAGUGGGAAUCAAAGAUAGUUUUAGUGCAAUGAGAGCUGGAGAUACACCUGGUGGGAGAUGAGCAGCUCUCAACAUUGCUUUCUCUUUUGAAAUCUCUUAUCCUCUUUCUUUGUGUCGAGAGUGAGGCUUCAGGUGACAAGUCUAGACCAAGGGUGCAUGCCAGAUGCACAGACACAAACUAAUACCAAGAACAGAGAAAGAAAUAACCCAAAACAAAGCAUGCCCAAAGCAACAAACAAUCCAUUAAAUAAGGCCUUAUUUCAUGCUGAAAUAAAUGAGCCUAAAGCAGAGAAUGAGCCAGAAUAAAUCUUAAACAAAAAAAUGGAUAGAACUUUCAAGCAUCAAAUGUAAGUCAAGAUUCAAAUUCAUCAUCAGAUUUAAACUGAAAGAAAUUGGAGAACAAAACAGUGUGAAGUUUGCAAUCAAUCCAAGAUCAGCAAGACAACAUCUAAUCUCUUGUAAUCACACUCAAACAACAAAUAAUUCUCAAAGAAUUGACUAAAAAUGAGAGUAAAGCAGUGUAAAAAAUGAAAGACAUGGAGAUUACAGAAAUCUCACUUGGAGAGCCUUCUCCCAAUCCGUGUUAUCUUAGUUUCAAGUGAGUUGUGUCUCCUUCCAAAAACCAGCAAAGAAUACUCAAUUUUCCAUCUCCUCUGCUCUUCCUCUAGACGCUCUCUACAGCUAGCUCACCCUCCUCCUAAAAAAAGUUUAUCCCAAUCCUCUCUUCUCUCUUCCCUCUUCCAUCUCUUUUGAUUUUUCUCUUUUUUUAGUUUUUUGCUUCCCAUUUUUUUGGGUGGCCGACCUCCAUUUUUUUCUUUCCCUAUUCUUCAUCUUCUCCCUUCCCAAAGACUGCAACACCCACACUCCACUUCCACUCAUGACUCUCACUCUCAUGACCCUAUUUUUUUUUUCUUCCUCCCGUCCAACACAACCACCAUAUUUAGCACGCACCAUCUCCCCUUCCCUUAUUUUUUUCCAUUUUCUCUCUUUCCUUUUAUUUUAUUUAUUUAUUUAUAUUUUUUUUCUUUCUCUCCACCCAAACGCACUACACAGCUCCAUUUGUCAGCCGAUUAUCGGAUGGUUGCUGAUGCCACUUUUGGCGACCCACCUCCACACCUCCACUGCUACUCUCUUCUCUUAUUUGAAAUUGGGUAACUUUUCAUUUCCUUAUUUAUUAUUUAUGUGUUUUUAUUUUCUUAUUAUAAUAAAUUCUUGAUCUCUACAUUGUAUUGUUUUUUUGAUAUAGAAAUUAGGUUUGUGGAUAUAUUACAUUUGGUGAUUAAUUUGGGAUAUUUGGAUUAUAUCAAUUGCAUAUUGUUUAUCUUAUUUGGACUUGGGCCUAUUACUUAUUGGUUAUUUAUUUGGGUUUAUUGGAUUGGGCUUGAGACAUUAUUUCCUUUGGCCAUGUGUAUUAUUAAUGUGGGCUUGUUAAUUAAUAUGAAUUUUAGGCCCACAAUGUGGGUAUGAAUUUUGGGCCCACAAUGUGGGUGAAAUUUGUUGGAUGACUUUAAUAUUUGAUAUAGGUUUGACCAAUUUGAACUAUUUAAUUUGGACAUGGGACAAUUGUGGUGUAUAUUAAAUUAGGCUUGGAUUAUGGGAUAUUAAAUUUAGGCCUAGUAGAAUUUAUUUUAAUUUAUCCAAUUUUAAGUUUGGUUAAUUGUGCUUGUCUUUUGGUAAUUAAUUGGGAAAUUUUGCACUGCGGCUAUUGGCAUGGGGAUAUUUAUGUUGGGUUAUAUUUGCUAAUUUGGGCCAAUUUUUAAUUGACAAAAUCUAUUAAACUAAUUUGAAGUUUGAAUUUGGGUUUGAAUGAUUAUUUUGGACUCUAUAUAUUUUUUUAUAUUUACACUUUGGGUUAUUUUUGUUUUUGCAUGGAUCCAUUCUGUAAAUCUAUUGGCUGAGUAUAAAUUUAUGACACGUGGUGUAUGGAAUUUCAUGGAAGAAAGUGGAAAUCGAAAAGCUAUAAAAAGACAUUGAGCUUAUUGUAAGCUUGUUUGGGUACACGUUUUAUUUCACACUACUAUUUGGUUUUAUUUUUAUUAAUUUCUAUAAAUAUUUGUUUGUAUAUAUUUACUUGUUGUGUACAAAAUUGAACAUCGAACAAACCAGAAAUUUUGCUUAAAUAAGAGGAACAAUUUAAUAAAUAUGUUUUAAUAAAAUAAUAGUUUUAAAAUAUUCUUCUUGACAAAAGAGAGUUUUUUUUUUAAUAAAAAUUCAAAAAAACAAAUGCUUUUAAUAGAAUUUGAAAAAUUGUAUUUAAUAAUAAUUGUCCAAAAAUUUCUUUGUUUAAUAAAAAUUGUCCAAAAAAUGUUUUUUAAAAUGAAUUCUUUUUCCUUAAUUAAAAUGGAAUUAAAAGUAUUUUUUAGAAAUAGAGGAUAUAAAUUUUUUUUCUUUUUAAUUAAAAAUUCUUUGCAAACAAAGUUAUGUCUUUUUAAAUAAUUUGUGUAAAUCACUUUUCUUAAAUGAAAACAAAUUGAAAUAAUUUUGUAAAUAAAAUUGUAAAAAUUCUUCUUUUUUUUUCUAGCAAAAGCAAGUAAAAAUAAUUUUUGUGUCCAAAUUGAAAUUUUGUAAUAAAUUCUUUUGAUACAAUAAGUGUAAAUCUUUUUUGAAAAUUGAAUACAAAUGAAAUUGAGAAAAUAAAUUAACUCUUUUUUGUAAAUAAAUAAAUUGAAAUCAUUAAUUGAAAAUCAUUUUUAAUAAAAUCCUUUGAAAUUUCUUGAAAACUAUUUUUUUAAUAUUUUUUUAUUUAGUUCAAUAAAUCAUUUUUUUUGCAUAAUUCUCUUGUUAUUUAUUUUGUGUAUUUUUGUAAUUAGAUUUCAUCAUUAUUUUUGGGUAUAUUGAUUUUCACCAUGACUUGUACAUAUUCAUUUGCAUGAUUAUUUUUCUUGGUAUCCAUAAUUAGUUAAUUAAUUUUCAUAAUUCUCUUAAUUCGUUUAGUAUAGGCCAUACAUAUAUGGGCUUAGAGGGGUGGUACGGCUCACCACCGUACCUUUCCAAUAAGUAUCCUGACCCCUGGACCCAGACUCAGUUUUUCACAAACUUAUUUUUUCCAAAUAAGGAGUCACACUUAUGGUUUUCUUUCUUAUCUUGUUUUCCCUUUAAAAAUAAAUAAAAAAUAAGUGGUGACUCCAAGUUAGAGAUGUCCAUUGGGUCGGGCCGCCCAUUUUGGCCCGUGGCACGACAUUAUAGCAGGUUGGGCCGGCACGACUCAAAAGGAGCAGGCCGUGUUGGGCCUAAAGAAACAGCCCACGCGGCCCGCCGUGCCCACUGUGUCAGCCCACUUGGCCCUUUUAAAUUUCACUUUUUACUUUUUACUAUUUACUUUUUAUUACAUGUCAAAUGUCUAUAAUACCCCUCUCAACAACUAUAAAACGACUAGUUUGAGGGGUAAAAAGUAAAUUAAUAACUAUCUUUACUUUUUAUGUCAAAUGUCAAUAUUACCCCUCCUAACAACUUUAUAAUGACUAGUUUAAAGGUUAAAUAAGUAAAUCACUCACUAUUAAUAUUUUUAGGUCUAAUAUCUAUAAUACCCCUCUCAACAACUAUAUAAUAACUAGUUUUAGGGGUAAACAAGUAAAUUACUCACCAAUACUUCUCUAUAAAUACCCUCAUUUUAAUUCUUUCUCACACAAUUCUCAAAUUUCUCCCCUUAUAUUAUUUACAAUUCUCUCUACUUUUUCUUUUCACAAUUCUCUAAAUUGAAAUUCUCUCAAGUGGUAAGGAUAUCUACUAACUCUACAAGUACUAAAGAUAUCUACCAACUUUACAAAUGGUCAUUAUUCAUAAGGUUGAGGUAUUUAUAUUUAGUUAUUUCAUUUAUUUAUUUUAAUUCUAUAUAUUUAAUUUUAUUGUUUUCUUUCUUUUACCUUAUUUUUUUCAUCUAAAAUUAAAAAUGGAUCCUUAUCACCUAGAUGUAGCAAACCUUGACUUUGGUAUUGAUGCAUGUAAUGAAUUUAAUCCAUUUGAAGAUGAUGAGAUUCCCACCUCCUCUAGUGUUCCUCUCUUUGACCUUCCCCAACCCAAUCCCAUAGGCAAAAGACCUAGAGCUAGUAGACGCACAUUUGUAGUAUGAAAUCACUUCACUAUAAUAAAUAGACAAAAUACAAGAGGAAAGGUAGAAAAUCUAGUAGAAUGUAAGUAUUGUAAAAAACAUAUAGUUGCAAAGCUAGUGGUGGCACAGGUCACCUUAAAAGACAUGCCGAACAAUGUACAAAAAAACAUGGUGCAUUAGAUCCUAGACAAUCCCAAAUAAGUCAAAACGAAAUAGGAUCUAGUACAUCUUCAAUAACCCCCAUUAUAUACAAUCAACAAUUCCUAAGAGAAAGGUUAGCUAAAUUGAUAGCCAAUAUGGGGCUUCCACUGACAUUUGGAGAAGAUUCUAAAUUUGUACAUUUCAUGAAAAAGUAUGUCCAACCAACCUAUCAUAGAAUUCCUAGGACUACUUCUCAUAAUGAUGUAAUUAAAGGUUACCUAAAAGAAAAACAAUUAGUAAUUGAAGAAUUUAAAAAUCAUAAUGGUAUUAUAUAUGUGACCUCAGAUUUAUGGACUAAUCAAAGUAAUGAACCAUUUACAUGUGUGACAUCACAUUAUACAGAUUCAAAUAUGAAAUUGCAAAAGAAAAUAUUAGGUUUUCGUAAAAUAUUACAUCCUCACAAAGGCCCUUCCAUAUAUGAUUCUUUGACAAGUGUUUUUAAGGAAUAUGAGAUACAAAGCAAAAUUUUUAGUAUUACCUUUGAUAAUGUUUCAAAUAAUAAAAUGUCAUAAAUUUAUUUGUAAAAACAAUUAGAGAAGGUCCACUAAUUGAAAUAUUUCAUGUGAGAUGUAUGUGUCAUAUAAUUAAUUUAAUAGUACAAGAUGGUUUAAAAUUAAUCACCCUCAUUAUAAGCUAUCCAGUCUACUAUACUAUUUCUUGAUUCAUCUAACAAAUUACAAGAAUUUUAUACUUUAUGUCAAUUAAUAGGUUUGAAAAAGAGAAAAUUUCGUCGUGAUAUUGGUCAUCAUUGGAAUUCUACCUACCUAAUGUUAAAAUCUUAUGUAAGGUAUCAUAACAUACUAUCAGAUUAUGUCAAUAGUAAAGCAGGUGAAAUUAUAGUAACUUCUGAUGAUUGGGAGAAAGGUUUUGCUUUUUAAAAAUUCUUGAAGGUUUUUUAUGAUACUACUAACAUGUGUUCUACUGUAUAUACUCAGACAUCUUGUAUAACACUUAGAUGUAUUUGCAAUAUAAGUGAUGUGUUUCGACAAUAUAGGGAACAUCCCUUUUUUAGUGAAAUAUGUGUACAAAUGGAUUUUUUUUUUUUUUUUUUGAAAUAUUGGAAGACUAUUCCAUCACUUUAUUGUUUAGCUACUUGUAUGGAUCCAAGGGUUAAGGCUGAAGGUGUAGAAAAUGUUUUAAAUUACAUAGCUAUUUGUAUGAACCAACCAUCUGAACCAGAGGGUAAGAUAUACGAACAAUUAAACAACUUAUAUAAAUAUUAUGAGAAUAAAUAUGGUAAUGUCUCUUCAAGUACUAUAACUUCAUCUAUAUUUGGAAAUGAUCUAUUUUUUUAUACAAUUAGCUAAGGGAAAGUGACAAGUUGGUCCUUCAAGUAGUUGUGAUCUUUUAAAAUAUUUAGAUACUAAUUAGUGUUCAUACCUAUCCCUUGAUGAAGUACAAAAUUUUGAUAUUAUGAAGUGGUGGAAAUCUCAUAAAUUCACUUUUCCUAUACUAUCUAAAAUGACACGUGAUCUACUAACCCCAUCGGUAUAUACUGUAGCAUCGGUAUCUUCUUUUUCUAUAGCUGCAAAUAUAAUAGGAGAUUGAAGGACAAAUCUUAUAGCAAAAAGGCUAGAAGCUUUGACAUGUUUGAAGGAUUGGGAAGAUGGACGCAUGGGACUUCAAACUUUAGAGGAUGAACUUAAAGAAGCCUUCAAGAAAUUGCUUCUCAAUGCAAACAAUGAUGUUCAAGAGAUUGAUGAUGAUUGAAGAUGAAAAAAAAGAAUGAAGAUUGAAUAAGAAGACAAAAGUGAAUAUGAUAAUUGAAGAAUUAUAUGUUGUUCGUUUCUUUUAAAUCUAUUAUAUGUAACUAAUUUUUAAAGGUUGAGUAAUGCAUAUGAUUGAUAGUUGGAUGGGUGCCAACCUAGUUGGGGUGUACUCAAACUAUAGUGAUCAAUCCUUACUUUUUUUUCUCUCCUUAUUUUUUCAUGUAAUUUGUUGAAAUAUUGAAUAAAAGAAUUAUUAUUUUUUUAUAUUUCAUUUCCUUUUAUAUCCCAUUAUUUUAAAUUUAUUUUUAUUUUGAUAAAAAAAACAAAUUCAAAUAUAAUUUUUUUUACUAUUUUUAAAAACAAAAAACUAACAUUUCUAUAAAUUUUACAAUUACAAAUUCGAUAAAUAUAAAUGUAAAAAAUAAAAAGUAUAAUUAUUAGAGGUGUAUAAAAAAUAAAAAAAUAUAAUUAUUAGAGGUGUUUAAAGUAACAAAAAGAAUUUUUAUUUAAUAAUGAAAAAAACUUAAGAAAAAAUUACUUAAAAAAUUAAAUUAAAUUUUUUAACAAAGUGGGUGGCCCAUGGGCCAUGGCCCGCUGGCAUGGCACGGCCCAACAUGAUUAGCCCGCAAACCUAUGGGCCGUGUUGGGCCACCUUUUCCUUACAUGGGCCGGCCCGACUUGACACGAUUUUUAAGUGGACAGUACUAGCUCGACAAGUUGGCCCGUAUUAAUGGCCCGAUCAAUCUCCAAGUCUUUUUCAAAAAAUCAAAAUUUCAAUGAAUAAAAAGCGAGUCUCGCCAUUUAAGUAGGGACACACGUAAAAAAUACGGAUUCAUAUUUGGUAUCUUUUUUUUUGUACAAUUGAAUAAUGAGAGUACAAUGGUAAUUGGUAGGAUUUUCUUUCUUUUAGAUAAAUGGUAAGUAUUUUAUUAAAUAAUAAAUUAUAUUUUAUAUUUAAUAAUAAAUUAUAAAAAAAUUGUAAUGUUUAGAUAUAUAUGGGGUGCAUAUGAUUAUUUAUCAUCGAUGUGUCAUCUUUACCAAUUUCAUAAGUUUUUCUUAAUUUUUUUAAUAACAUGCCUCUACAGAUGGCAUUUUAUUAGUGCGGUUAAAUGUGAGUAGGUCCCAAAACAAAUAGUCGGUAGCAAAGAGCAACCCAUAAAGAACUUGAGGUCAUUUUCUAAUAAUUAUGACUUCUCAGGCGUGAACGAUGGGAUUCGACAAAAAAAAAAAAAAAAAAGAAAAGAAAUGGGAUUUGACAAAAAGGUAAGGCCUGCGAUGAGGUCAUUUUCUAAUAAUUAUGACUUCUCAGGCGUUAACGAUGUGAUUCGACAAAAAGAAAAAAGAGAAAAGAAAUGGGAUUUGACAAAAAGGUAGGGCCUGCGAUGAGAAAAAUGAUCUGAAUCAUGUCAUGAAUUGUUAAAUCAACAUUGUAGUCUCAUAGCUGGCAGUCGGGAUAAGACUGACAGGUAGGUUUGUAUCUUAUUGAGAAAGGCUCCCCGUCUUAUUGGUUUAGAUAUAUAUAUAUAUAUCUAUAUAGCAAUACAGCUGUUCUGCUAUUUCUUAUCUCCAUCUCUCUCUAGCUAGAAAGAUGAAGGACACCGUAGUUCUGUAUCCUUCUACAGGUAUCAGCCAUGUCAUUCCCAUGGUAGAGUUUGGACAACACCUGCUCACUUACUACCCUUCCUUCUCCAUCACCAUCCUCAUUUCCACUUUACCUUCUGACACCGCCUCCACUGCCGCAUACAUCGCCUCCGUGGCUGCCGCCACCCCUUCUAUUACCUUCUACCACCUCCCCACUGUUUCUUAUCCCAACCCCGCCAGUUAUCCAGCUCUGUGCUUUGAAUUCAUGGCCCUUAACAACAAUAAUCUCCGUCAAUUCCUAGAAUCCAUGUCCCAGACCUCAAGUAUUGAAGCCUUCAUCAUCGAUUUCUUCUGCAAUUCCUCCUUUGAAGUUUCUGUAAAUCUUAACAUCCCAACAUACUAUUUCCGUCCCUCAGGGGCAAAUGCGCUUGCUGUGUUCCUUUACCUCCCCACCAUUGAUAGAAACAUGACAAAAAACUUGAAAGAUGAUCUCAACAUGCAUCUCCGUGUCCCGGGACUACCAUCCAUUGUAGCUUCUGAUAUGCCUUUGCCGUUCCUUGAUCGCACGACUAAAGCCUAUCGAUACUUCAUUGACAGCGCAGAGCAGAUGGCUAAAUCAUCUGGAAUCAUCGUAAACACUUUUGAAUUGCUUGAAUCAAGAGCUUUAAAAGCCAUAUUAGAGGGUUUGUGCACUCCAGAUUGGCCUACCCCACCAAUUUUCUGCAUUGGCCCAUCAAUUUUGAGCAGCAAUCGAGCUGGUGGCGGCAGCAGCAGCGAUGAACACGAGUGGUUGAGCUGGCUCAACCUGCAACCGAGUCAAAGCGUGGUGUUUCUGAGUUUUGGUAGCAUGGGGCGGUUCUCUGUAAAGCAAUUGAAGGAAAUGGCAACUGGGCUUGAAAAAAGUGGCCUGAGGUUUUUGUGGGUGGUGCGCAAUCCACCUAGUGAUGAAAAAGAGAAAAACAUUUCCGAUGCACCAGAACCGAGCUUGGACUCAUUCUUCCCUGAAGGGUUCCUUGAAAGAACAAAGGAUAGAGGUUUUGUGGUGAAGUCCUGGGUAGCACAGGUGGCGGUACUGAAUCAUGGCUCGGUUGGCGGUUUCGUGACUCAUUGCGGAUGGAGCUCAGUUGUCGAGUCAGUGUGUGCCGGGGUGCCUAUGGUGGCAUGGCCUCUGCAAGCCGAGCAAAGGAUUAUUAGGGUGUUUUUGGUGGAGGAACUGAAGGGAGCUUUGGCGGUGAACCAGUCGGAAAACGGCUUUGUGAGUGCCACUGAGUUGGAGAACCGAGUGACCGAGUUAAUGGAUCCCGAGAAAGGAAACCCACUGAGAGACCGAGUUACAGCCAUGAGAGAUGGUGCCAAGGCAGCCAUAGGAGAGGGCGGGUCAUCUCGAGUUGCGUUGGCCAAGUUGAUUGGGUCGUUUAAGCGAGCUUGACUGAGUUGAAAGAUUUCAAUUCGGUUCUAUGAUUUCCCACCUCAAGGAAGUUCCGGAAUAUAAAUAUGAAAUGAUUUUAUUGUAAAUUUAUUUGUUAAUUAAAAGUGAUUAAACUGGUCUAGCUAGCUUAAUCUUCUUUUCCCUACCUUAUAUGAAAUAAUAUUUGAUCGUCCCAUUAUACAUAUGAAUAAAUACUUUGAAAUUAUUAAGCUUAUCUUUGGUUCAACAAAAGUUUGAAGGAUAAUGUGAUAGUAGAGAGAGAUAAAAAAAAAGUGAAUGAAAAUAAAAAAAAAUUAAAAUAAAUAAUUUUUUAUGUAUUACUUCAUAUUCAUUUUACUUUAUGGAUUCUAUAUUUUGCUUAAUGCGUUCUUACUCGAUAACAAACUCGUUUUUUUUUUUUUUUUUUUUGUGAAAAUUUGAUUUUUAGACAAGACUUGGAAUCACCACUUAUUUUUGUUUUAUUUUUUAAGGGAAAAAUAAAAUAAAAAAGAAAAAUUCUAAGCAUGACUCCUGAAAAAAAAAACAGGUUUAUGAAAAAUCGAGUUUGGGUCCGGGGGUCAAGUUACCUAUUGGGAAGGUACGGUGGUGAGUCGUAACACCCUUCUAAGCCCUAUAAUAAGGUCUCUAUUAAAUAAGGUGAAACAAAUAUGAUAAUUAAUAAGUAGAUCAAUGGAUACCAAUGAAAUGAUCAAAUAAUAAAACAAAUCAAACAUGAAAACGAAUAAAUAAAUGAAGUAAGAAUAGGAGCGUACCUUAGCAGCAAAUAAUAAAAGGCUAUUAUGAAACAGAGUUAGUGUAUAAUGAUAAAUAUAAAAUAUCUCACACAAAAUCAAUCAAAAUCAAACAAUAUCAAUCAUGCGAUUCACUUGAAUUAUUUUUUUAAGAAAUGUUAUGAAUGUUGGGCCCCCCACCAAAACCUGAUUAAUUUUGUAUUAAUUAAUCUCAUAAAUUUCGUUGUUUCUAGAGUUCUGAAAAUCGUAUUCAUUCUCAUUUAAAAAAUCGAAAAAAAAGAAAAAUUAUUUUAAAAUCAAAGGAAAUUUGUGAAAUUACUUACCCGUAAGGAAAGGUAGCAAUUUUAUCAAAAUCCGGAUUUUUGGUGACCUAAAACCUUAAUGAAGGACAAAAGUUGAAGACUUAAAAUUAUUGGAAAACUGGAGUGGAUUUAAAAUUCUUUGAAGAAAAAUGGAAUUUUAAAAAUUAUUUAAAAAUUGAAAUCUUAAAAAUAUAUUUGAAAAUUGGAGUCUUGAAAAUUAAAUUUAAGGAUUAGAAUUUUUAAAAUUAAAUUUGAAAGAAAUUGGAAUUUUGUGAGAAUUGGAGUUUUGAAAAUUAAAUUUAAGAAAUAGAAUUUCGGAAAUUAAAUUUAAGAAUUCGAAUCUUAGAAAUUUAAUUUGAAAGAAAUUGGAAUUUUGGAAAUUAUUUUAGAAUUGGAGUUUUGAAAAUUAAAUUUAGGGAAUGAAAUUUUGGAAAUUAAAUUUAAGAAUUAGAAUUUUCGAAAUUAUAUUGGAAUUUGUGGAAUUGUAGAAAUUGUCUAUUUAAGUGACACCUUUUAUAUAAAUUAAAAUUUUUAGGAAUUGUAAAAAAUGUCUCUUCAAAAGACAUCUUUAGCUUUAAAAUCAAAUUCAUGAAAUAUUCAAAUUGUCAAAUUGUAGAAGGUGUCUCUUCAAGAGACACCUUUAAUACAUAUUAGAUUUUUUGCCACGUGGAAAGUGUCUUUUCAAGAGACACCUUUCAUAUAAAUCCAAUUUUCUGAAAUUAUAGAAAGUGUCUUUUCAAGAGACACCUUUAGCUUAAA